UACGUAGGGCGCAAGCGUUGUCCGGAAUUAUUGGGCGUAAAGAGCUCGUAGGCGGUUUGUCGCGUCUGCUGUGAAAACCUGAGGCUCAACCUCGGGCUUGCAGUGGGUACGGGCAGACUAGAGUGCGGUAGGGGAGAUUGGAAUUCCUGGUGUAGCGGUGGAAUGCGCAGAUAUCAGGAGGAACACCGAUGGCGAAGGCAGAUCUCUGGGCCGUAACUGACGCUGAGGAGCGAAAGCAUGGGGAGCGAACAGG
rnacentral:rRNA from 1 species